UACGAAGGGGGCUAGCGUUGUUCGGAAUCACUGGGCGUAAAGGGCGCGUAGGCUGCUUUAUAAGUCGGGGGUGAAAGCCUGUGGCUCAACCACAGAAUUGCCUUCGAUACUGUAGAGCUUGAGACCGGAAGAGGUAAGUGGAACUGCGAGUGUAGAGGUGAAAUUCGUAGAUAUUCGCAAGAACACCAGUGGCGAAGGCGGCUUACUGGUCCGGUUCUGACGCUGAGGCGCGAAAGCGUGGGGAGCAAACAGG
rnacentral:rRNA from 1 species